GCGGUGGUGGUUCAGUGGUAAACAUCUCACCUUCCAUAUGGGAGACCCGGGCUCGAUUCCUGGCUACUGCC
rnacentral:tRNA from 1 species